rnacentral:rRNA from 1 species
CUCGAAUCUAGUUUGAGUUAAACUUCUUAUGCAUAAAGCGCCCACUCUAUGCUGUGGCAUAAUCAAGAGAAUAAAGAAGUUUAGAGGCUACAUACCUACCGCGAUUAGAGAUAGCUAGUUUCUUAUUAAAGUAAUUUAAGUUACACAAGCUUUUUUUAUCAUAUACCCAAACAAAGCUUUGUUAAAGAGAAAAGGACAAUCUUUUCUCCAAGUAUUACUCCACAACCUUUUAUUUUUCUUAGGCCCUACACCAGCCACCCAAAAAAAUUACGAUUUUGUUUAAAAAACUAUUAAUUUUUAGUAUAGAAAAAGUAAGAUAUUUUUAAAAACAAUAAAAAAAUAACAAACAAUGUCUAAAAUAACUACUACCCUUAUUUCCCUUCUUUUUACCUCUUAAAAAAAGAACACCCUCACUAAUAAUUAUCUUUUAAGGAACUCGGCAACUCUAAGCCUUGCCUGUUUAAUAAAAACAUCUCUUCUAGAACUAGAGAUUAGAAGUCCAGCCUGCCCAGUGAAUAUUUUCAACGGCCGCGGUAACCUGACCGUGCUAAGGUAGCGCAAUCAAUUGCCCUUUAAUUGUGGGCUAGUAUGAAUGGCUAGACAAGGGCUUAACUGUCUCAAAAGAUAAUAUGGAAUUUGACCUUUAGGUGCAGAGGCCUAAAUAAUAGUGAAAGACAAGAAGACCCUAUCGAGCUUUAAUUUCAUUUAUUUUUGUAAAAUGAUAUAAAUUUUUAUUGGGGCAAUAAAGGAACAAAAAAAGCUUCCUUAAGGAUAGAAGUACUAUAUUAUUAAAACGAAAUAUUUUUAUAGUUAUUAGCAAUAGCUACCGUAGGGAUAACAGACUAAUUUUCCUUGAGAGUCCACAUUGACAGGAAAGUUUGGCACCUCGAUGUUGGCUUAAAAAACAGUUAUUGAAGCAGCACUCUAACCCUGUAGGUUUGUUCAACCUUUAAAAUUUUACAUGAGCUGAGUUUAGACCGACGUAAGUCAGGUCAGUUUCUAUCUUCACUUCAUUCCCUUUACCAUUCGUACGAAAGGAUUUUGGUAAAAAAACUAUUUU